rnacentral:rRNA from 1 species
UAACAGAGGGUUCGAUCGCAUGGCUCAGAUUGAACGCUGGCGGGAUGCUUUACACAUGCAAGUCGAACGGCAGCACGGACUUCGGUCUGGUGACCAGGCGAACGGGUGAGUAAUGUAUCCGGAACGUGCCUAGUAGCGGGGGAUAACUACACUGAAAGCGUAGCUAAUACCGCAUACGCCCUUCGGGGGAAAACGGGGGACCUUCGGGCCUCGCACUAUUAGAGCGGCCGAUAUCAGGUUAGCUAGUUGGUGGGGUAACGGCUCACCAAGGCGACGAUCCGUAGCUGGUUUGAGAGGACGACCAGCCACACUGGGACUGAGACACGGCCCAGACUCCUACGGGAGGCAGCAGUGGGGAAUUUUGGACAAUGGGGAAACCUGAUCCCAGCCAUCCCGCGUGUGCGAUGAAGGCCUUCGGGUUGUAAAGCACUUUUGGCAGGAAAGAAACGGCGCGGGAUAAUACCCCGUGCAACUGACGGUACCAGCAGAAUAAGCACCGGCUAACUACGUGCCAGCAGCCGCGGUAAUACGUAGGGUGCAAGCGUUAAUCGGAAUUACUGGGCGUAAAGCGUGCGCAGGCGGUUCCGGAAAGAAAGAUGUGAAAUCCAGAGCUUAACUUUGGAACUGCAUUUUUAACUACCGGGCUAGAGUGUGUCAGAGGGAGGUGGAAUUCCGCGUGUAGCAGUGAAAUGCGUAGAUAUGCGGAGGAACACCGAUGGCGAAACAGCCUCCUGGGAUAACGACGCUCAUGCACGAAAGCGUGGGAGCAAACAGGAUUAGAUACCCUGGUAGUCCACGCCCUAAACGAUGUCAACUAGCUGUUGGGGCCUUCGGAGCCUUGGUAGCGCAACUAACGCGUGAAGUUGACCGCCUGGGAAGUACGGUCGCAAGAUUAAAACUCAAAGGAAUUGACGGGGACCCGCACAAGCGGUGGAUGAUGUGGAUUAAUUCGAUGCAACGCGAAAACCUUACCUACCCUUGACAUGUCUGGAAUCCCGAAGAGAUUUGGGAGUGCUCGCAAGAGAACCGGAACACAGGUGCUGCAUGGCUGUCGUCAGCUCGUGUCGUGAGAUGUUGGGUUAAGUCCGCAACGAGCGCAGCGCUUGUCAUUAGUUGCUACGAAAGGGCACUCUAAUGAGACUGCCGGUGACAAACCGGAGGAAGGUGAGGAUGACGUCAAGUCCCAUGGCCCAUAUGGGUAGGGCUUCACACGUCAUACAAUGGUCGGGACAGAGGGUCGCCAACCCGCGAGGGGGAACCAAUCAGAAACGAUCGUAGUCCGGAUCGCAGUCUGCAACUCGACUGCGUGAAGUCGGAAUCGCUAGUAAUCGCGGAUCAGCAUGUCGCGGUGAAUACGUUCCCGGGUCUUGUACACACCGCCCGUCACACCAUGGGAGUGGGUUUACCAGAAGUAGUUAGCCUAACCGUAAGGAGGGCGAUGCUGGUAGGAUUCAUGACUGGGGUGAAGUCGUAACAAGGUAA